rnacentral:rRNA from 1 species
GACGAACGCUGGCGGCGUGCUUAACACAUGCAAGUCGUACGGUAAGGCCCUUUCGGGGGUACACGAGUGGCGAACGGCUGAGUAACACGUGAGUAACCUGCCCACAACUUUGGGAUAACGCUAGGAAACUGGUGCUAAUACUGGAUAUGUGCUCCUGCUGCAUGGUGGGGGUUGGAAAGCUCCGGCGGUUGUGGAUGGACUCGCGGCCUAUCAGCUUGUUGGUGGGGUAGUGGCCUACCAAGGCGGCGACGGGUAGCCGGCCUGAGAGGGUGACCGGCCACAUUGGGACUGAGAUACGGCCCAGACUCCUACGGGAGGCAGCGGUGGGGAAUAUUGCACAAUGGGCGCAAGCCUGAUGCAGCAACGCCGCGUGCGGGAUGACGGCCUUCGGGUUGUAAACCGCUUUCAGCAGGGACGAAGCUUUUUGUGACGGUACCUGCAGAAGAAGCACCGGCUAACUACGUG